rnacentral:rRNA from 1 species
AUGCACUGCCGCUCAUCCUCUCUUUGGUCUUGGUUCCUCUCCACCGGUGAGCCGUAUCACGGCGGCGCUGCGAAGAUGGCCGACGGCGCUGUUCAGGUAGGAGACAGCCACAUAUGCUACAACCAGGGGUUGUUUGUUUUUGCUUGGAUUGCCCCGCUGUCCUGCAUGCAUCAACGGCGGCCAGCAGCUACCCAUGCUGCAACCAGCAGGUCCCAGCGACGAAGAUGA